GAAAACAAAUAAGUUGAUAUCCUGUAGUACUUAUGCUAUAAAGGAAUAGCAGCUGGAUUGCUAUUACUGAUUGCAGAUGAUUGCAACUGGCAGGUGAAUGUUGUGAAAGGGUUGAAGUUAUAUGAAGACGUAUUCACUGAUACAGAGCUCUUUAAGUUGAAUGACUUUGUUAAUGAACUACGGGAAGCUGGACACCAUGGAGAACUCUCGGGUGAGACCUUUAUUCUAUUCAAUAAACAGAUGAAGGGAAACAAGAGAGAACUGAUUCAGUUUGGAAUUCCAAUUUUUGGACAAAUAACAGAGGAAGCUGGAAGUAACAAUCAAACUAGCACGAUAGAGCCAAUUCCAGCUCUUCUCCAAGGUGUCAUUGAUCACCUUUUGCAGAGAAACCAUUUCUAUGGCAAUGUGAUAUGGUCUACAUGU